ACGUGCGUUUUGGCACGGUUUUGAGCUUGGGUGCCCCAAUUCUCUCUAGAUCUCUUCCUUGAACAAAAGUUUGACGCCGCUACGGUCGCUGCAAUCCUACUGUCGUGUUGCCGCAUCGUCGCCGUCAAACUCCUCGUCUAUCUCUCAUUUUUCCAGCGUCGCCUUUCCUCGUCUAUCCCUCUCUCCCUUCCUUUAUCUCACUAAUUAGUGCUGCCAUAGCCUCUCUCUGCUCUAGCUUCUUUUGUGAAAUAGCUUCAUCAUGUCGCCGUACCAGUCCAGCAUUUCAGAGUACCAGCCACCUCUUGCGUAAAUGUUCAGCCAAAACAAUGAAAAUAGGCGUAAGUAAAGAGUCAACCACACAAGCGGAAGGACUUCAUUUGUUGUACUAAUGGAAAGAAAGUAGAAGGAGAAGAAUCUAAUUAAUUUCUACAAAGAUGUGCAUUGGUCGAAUAAAAAAGGGAUAUUUAUCACAACAACUACUGAAGACAAUUAUAAUCAGAUGGUUCAAUUGAUGAAUGCCAAAGACCCAAAUGCUCGCACAGAUGAAGCAGCAACAACCAUAUUUAGGGAGGUAUUGGGACAUAGAUCAAGGUAUAACAAAGGGCUGGGCCACUCUGUUAUGCCCGAAUCUACAAAAGUGGCUGGAGUAUCAAAUGAGGAGUAUGAACGGCUUGCUAAGGAGAAUGAAGCAAAUAGGAAAAAUGCAGAGUAUUACCAAAAUCGGGUUGAAGAGAUUGAAGGUGGUUUCAGGAUUAUGAGGGAGCAUAUGCAGGAUUAUGAGCAACGUGUAAACAUGAAAAUGUCAUAAGUGGAGACAGAAUUAGAGUCUCAGAGAGAGACUCAAACUACAGUUCCUAGCCGACAUUUCUGCAUGCCAGCAAUUACUAAUUUUGUAUUUUGACCUACACUUUUCCUGCACUUUUGAUGAAGGGGUGUUGGGAAUGCUGAUAAUAUAGUUAUACAUUUGAAAAUGGAUUAAUUAUAUUCUGAUCUUAGUGCAAAGGGUCAAGGAUGAGAGGUAAAUUGGUUUCUUGCUCUA